AAUUAUACGAAUUAAUGGUUAAUUCUUAAAAUGGCUUAUGAGUUAGGUUACAAAAGGAGUCUGUUGUUCAAUAUAUAGUUUAAUCGUGUCUGUUUGACACACUAAUCUGAAGCACUGUGCCUCAGUUGACCCGCCCUCCUGAGUGGACGCGUCCGCGGAGCUCCGUUCUGCUGCUGAGUUCGCUUCAGCCAAACUGCGAUUUCUAAAAGUCAUCUUUGAUUUCUAGAUUUGACGAAAUGUGAUAAAUCGGCGGAUCGUCUCGUCAUGAGCGACCGAAAACCGGCGCCUGACAGCGGACAGUACAAGCCGAGAAUGAGCGGAGGGAGCAGCAGUGUGCAGAUGGAGGAUCGCAACAUGCUGCGACGGAUGGAGAAGGAGAGAAGGAGUCAGGGGGUGCAGCAGGAGGAGACGCAGUAUGACAGAAUCGCUCCUCUCUUCAACAAGCCGUAUAAGAGAAUCAAAGAUGAUGAGCUGUCCAGUCUCAUCCAGAGGAUGCUGGGUAAUUAUGAGGAAGGAUAUGACGGACCUGAGGAACUUUGUCCUGCGCUUCAUAAUGAGCGUUCUGCGCACUUCCCUCACGUGGACGAGCAGUCGGGAUGCACGGAUCGCUCCAGAGCCGCUUCAGACUCCGGCCCUCCUUCAGGUGAGAGCUGGGACAGUUUACCGGCCCUGUGUCCCCCGGUGGAGCCGCUGUCCCCUCUACAGUCCAGUGACUCGGACGGCGGCCCGUGUCCAGAGCGCAGCAGGCCAGACGCGCCUCCGCUGACUCACGCACUCCCGCUGAAUUUGCAUGGUAAACUGGCCAACGCCAAGAAACCCACAGCAUAUGUGAGGCCGACGGUCGGUCAGGACCAGGUGACCAGCGGUUCUCCCGAACUGAAGGCCUCACCGGAGUCUUAUGAGCACUUACAGGACCUGAAGGAGAGCAGCAAACCAAACCUUCCCGCUCUGCAGUCUGCUGAUAUUGUGUCUGGAGCGCGUGUGGGGGACAUUCUGCAGGAAAUGACCUCAUGGCCUCCACUACUGACGACCAUUUGCACGCCAACCACAGCCGAGCCGCCUAAGUUCUCCUCCACUAAUGAGGAGACACAUGGAUUCCCGACUCUCAAAGCUGAUGAAUCAUCAGACAAAGUUCAGCGGGAAUCUCCAGGUGUUUCCAGCAGCUCCAGUGAUACUGACAGCAGUUCUGAAACAGACAGUGAAAAGAGCAGCAGCCCAGAUGAACCAGCAGCUCCUGAGACAUUACACACACAGCCACAGAAAGAGAGUGACUGGCAGUUAGGCCGAUGGUUAGAAAGGAGGGAUCACCAGCAGGACCCUAGGAGCCCAUGUGAUGUCAUCAGGCCAAACUCCCAUGAUUCCUCUGAAAGGACUGGUUCACAGAGUUGCCAUAGUGACCCGACUGAUGGCAGCAAAGCGUCCGAUCACAGACAGACUGUGGGGAGCAAGAACAGGUGUGAGGAUCUGCUGUUAGAAAGCACUGGCGUGAAGAUUUCCCAGCGUGCUGAAAACACAUCCACACACAGAGCGAAACACAAGAGAAAGAAAACGGCACAUCACCCAGAGCAGAAGAGAACGACAACAGACAACAACAUCAGCAAACAAACAGACAGGAAAGAAACACAUGAGCCGCUGCUGGUGAAGAUAGAGCUGAACCUGCUCUCCAGAAUCCCUCGGGAGCCCAGAUCAGCUCCACCUCUCGCAGAGAGCAACAGCGCGCCAGGACGCAAGAGAGCGAUGGAGAGGGAUGAAAAGUCUUCAAAGAAGAAACAGAAACUAGACAAAGAGGGAAAACAGUCUUCCUCCUCUCAGCAAAGCCUCCACCAAUCAGAAGCCGUGAGGAACAGCGACACGAUGAUGAAGAAGAAGAGUGUGAAACACAGGUCAGGUGGUCUUCAGGAGCCGCACAAAGACUCGGGACGCGAGCGUCACUCAGCCGCGGCUCCUGACGGCCAGCAGAAGAAAGCAGAGACUCGUGGGAAGAAAACCUGCAAGAGCCGCAAGGAGCUCCCGGAGAAACCGUGUCCACGAGCGCUGCUGCCGCCUGAUCGCAGGAAACUCUCAGUGGAAGAUCAUUUGAAGGAAGCCAAAAAGCUGAAGCACAAAGCAGAUGCUACGCCGGAUAAGAUGGCUAAAGCGCUGUGCUAUCUGGAGGCUGCGCUGUCGUUCGCGGAGAGCGGCGUCGCCAUGGAGACGGAGCCGCAGAUGCCCAAAUCUGCCUACACCAUGUUCUCGGAGACGGUGGACCUGAUCAGGUUUAUUCUGAAGCUGAAGAGCUACACGGAUCCGUCAGCCGCCGCCCACGAGAGAGAUUUCUGUGUCCUGUGCAUGCGAUGCCAGUCUCUGCUGCAGAUGGCCAUGUUCCGCUACAAACGAGAUGCGGCGCUCAAAUACUCGCGGACGCUCACAGAUCAUUUCAAAAGCUUGUCGUGGUCUGCGUCUCCGUCUGUGUCCAAGAGUGCCGUCUCGUCUCUGGUCAUUCCUCAGCCCAUCCAGCAGGUGGCAGCGGCGUACGUCAGCAUCACGACACUCUUCCUGAGCGCUCACGAGACGUGGGAGCAGGCGGACGAGAUCGCUCUCACAGGCAGCGGUUUGCUGCGAGAGCUGGAUUCAGCUGUUGGUCCUCUGAGUCUGACGUCCUCCAUGAGUGCAUUAGUGCGAUACACACGACACGGCCUGCACUGGAUCAGACUCGACACACAGAACACGCGCUGAGAGAGCCUUCAGAGCGUCACAUGAGACACACACACACACACACACACACACACACUCUCACACACACACACACACACACACACACACAC